ACGCUGGCGGCACGCCUAACACAUGCAAGUCGAACGAAGUAGCAAUACUUAGUGGCAGACGGGUGAGUAACAUGUAGGUAUCUGCCCUUUGGCCUGGAAUAACACGAGGAAACUUGUGCUAAUACCGGAUAAGUCUUUACGGAGAAAGCUUUAUGCACCAUUGGAUGAGCCUGCACUUGAUUAGUUUGUUGGUGGGGUAAUGGCCUACCAAGACUGUGAUCAAUAGCUGAUUUGAGAGGAUGAUCAGCCACAUUGGGACUGAGACACGGCCCAAACUCCUACGGGAGGCAGCAGUGGGGAAUCUUGCACAAUGGAGGAAACUCUGAUGCAGCGAUGCCGCGUGAGUGAAGAAGGCCUUUGGGUUGUAAAGCUCUUUCGUCGGGGAAGAAAAUGACUGUACCCGAAUAAGAAGGUCCGGCUAACUUCGUGCCAGCAGCCGCGGUAAUACGAAGGGACCUAGCGUAGUUCGGAAUUACUGGGCUUAAAGAGUUCGUAGGUGGUUGAAAAAGUUGGUGGUGAAAUCCCAGAGCUUAACUCUGGAACUGCCAUCAAAACUUUUCAGCUAGAGUAUGAUAGAGGAAAGCAGAAUUUCUAGUGUAGAGGUGAAAUUCGUAGAUAUUAGAAAGAAUACCAAUUGCGAAGGCAGCUUUCUGGAUCAUUACUGACACUGAGGAACGAAAGCAUGGGUAGCGAAGAGGAUUAGAUACCCUCGUAGUCCAUGCCGUAAACGAUGUGUGUUAGACGUUGGAAAUUUAUUUUCAGUGUCGCAGCGAAAGCGAUAAACACACCGCCUGGGGAGUACGACCGCAAGGUUAAAACUCAAAUGAAUUGACGGGGACCCGCACAAGUAGUGGAGCAUGUGGUUUAAUUCGAAGAUACGCGCAGAACCUUACCAACACUUGACAUGUUCGUCGCGACUCUAAGAGAUUAGAGUUUUCGGUUCGGCCGGACGAAACACAGGUGCUGCAUGGCUGUCGUCAGCUCGUGUCGUGAGAUGUUGGGUUAAGUCCCGCAACGAGCGCAACCCUCACUUUUAGUUGCCAUCAUUAAGUUGGGCACUCUGAAAGAACUGCCAGUGAUAAGCUGGAGGAAGGUGGGGAUGACGUCAAGUCCUCAUGGCCCUUACGUGUUGGGCUACACACGUGCUACAAUGGUAUCUACAACAGGAAGCAAAACUGCGAAGUUAAGCAAAUCCCUAAAAGAUACCUCAGUUCGGAUUGCACUCUGCAACUCGAGUGCAUGAAGCUGGAAUUACUAGUAAUCGUGGAUCAGCGUGCCACGGUGAAUGCGUUCCCGGGUCUUGUACACACCGCCC
rnacentral:rRNA from 1 species